rnacentral:rRNA from 1 species
AUUGAACGCUGGCGGCAGGCUUAAUACAUGCAAGUCGAGCGAGCGGCGGACGGGCGGGUAAUGUCUGGGAACCUGCGUGAUGUAGGGGGAUAACUACUGUAAACGGUAGCUAAUACUGCAUACGGUCCGUUCUGCCCUGAUGGGAUUAGCUAGUCGGUGGGGUAAUGGCUCACCUAGGCGACGCGCCCUAGCUGGUCUGAGAGGAUGACCAGCCACACUGGAACUGAGACACGGUCCAGACUCCUACGGGAGGCAGCAGUGGGGAAUAUUGCACAAUGGGCGCAAGCCUGAUGCAGCCAUGCCGCGUGUGUGAAGAAGGCCUUCGGGUUGUAAAGCACUUUCAGCGAGGAGGCGUUACUCGCAGAAGAAGCACCGGCUAACUCCGUGCCAGCAGCCGCGGUAAUAC